CGGCUGUGACCCACACCACAGCUCAUGGCAAUGCGGAUCCUUAACCCACUGAGCAAGGCCAGGGAUCGAACCCACAUCCUCAUGGAUACUGGUUGGGUUCUUAACCCGCCAAGCUACAAGAGGAGCUCCAGAAUGACUUCUGUAUAGAAACCUUCCUUGGAACACCCAGCCCUGUCCCCAAGGCCAGCUGGUGUGAAAAGCUUCUCUACUCAAGGAUCGGGUCUUAUUUACCUAUUCCUGGACCCUAACACAGUGUCUGACGAUAAACAUCGGUUCAAUGCCGAUUCACAAGUGACUGCUGAUGACCCUGCAAGGAAGACCUACCACCUUUGCUAUUAACCAUCUGACCGUGGGAAGACAAUUACCUGUUGGGGGCCGCCAAGCACAACACAGAAGGAAGAUGAGCAAGCGGGAUGUGGCUUGGUAGGUUUUAAAGUCUGUGCUUAUUUUGAAAAGGGUCCAGAACUCAUGUGAUGGUAU